GCUGGCGGCGUGCCUAACACAUGCAAGUCGAACGAGAAAGUGGAGCAAUCCAUGAGUAAAGUGGCGACCGGGUGAGUAACACGUGACUAACCUACCCUACAGUGGGGGAUAACUCCGGGAAACCGGGGCUAAUACCGCAUAACAUCGUAAGAUCAAAGGAGCAAUUCGCUGAAGGAGGGGGUCGCGGCUGAUUAGUUAGUUGGUGAGGUAACGGCUCACCAAGACGAAGAUCAGUAGCCGGCCUGAGAGGGCGCACGGCCACACUGGAACUGAAACACGGUCCAGACUCCUACGGGAGGCAGCAGUGGGGAAUUUUGCGCAAUGGGGGAAACCCUGACGCAGCAACGCCGCGUGGAGGAUGAAGUCCCUUGGGAUGUAAACUCCUUUCGAUCGGGACGAUUAUGACGGUACCGGAAGAAGAAGCACCGGCUAACUCUGUGCCAGCAGCCGCGGUAAUACAGAGGGUGCAAGCGUUGUUCGGAAUUAUUGGGCGUAAAGGGUGCGUAGGCGGUGCGGUAAGUCUGUAGUGAAAUCUCUGGGCUCAACUCAGAGUCUGCUAUAGAAACUGCCGUGCUUGAGUGUGGGAGAGGUGA
rnacentral:rRNA from 1 species